AUGAUUUUCUUUUUCAAUUUUGUGAUAUAUUUUAGGGACAUGUGUUUGUAACUUUGACUUUAUGACAAAAGAUAAUGAUAAUACAAAACAAAAUGAUGAAACUAAAAAAAUAUAGGGGUAAUUAAUGGCCGGUCCAGUGUUGGACCAGACUAUAAUUUUUAGUCCCUGUUUACUCUAUUUGUAACAGCCGGUCCAUCCCGUUUGUGCCGUUAUGUUUGAGACGAAAAUAACCCUGAGGUACAUACCGAAACAGCCGGUCCAUCUCGUUUCUCUCUUUCUGUUUGAGACGAUAAUAGCCCUGAAGUUCCCUAUGGAUUCGGCUUCAUCUCGACCCAUUUUUCACUUAUCUUCACACGUAAAUAGCUCUCAUCGUUAAGGAUUCAUAUUUCCCCCAUUUUGCAAUCCUAUCUCCCCACGAAAAUUUCCAUCUUCCUCACCGAUUCCGGUUGAUCUGGUGUCCCCCGUUUCAAACCCUAAGACCGUAAACAAGUUCCCACCGGGAAAUCACUCUUGCUCCCGACCGAGAGUUCCUCUGUCGAGUCUAUUUUCCGGCCGGUCUCCGACUGAGAGCUCUGAGACGACGGCAUUUUGUCGACUCCCACACCUGAAGCUUUCCUUGACGCUCGCGUCUUCGCCCUGAUCGUUGGUCGACGGCGCUUCGUUCGACCUCGCUUCCCAAACCCUCUCCGAGGCAUAUUGCCGGUUCUUCGACGGUUUGUAAACCCUGGAUCAUAAUUUCUCGAUUUGGUUUUCGUAGCAACAAACUGUAAUAUAGUAUUGUUGGGCAUUUAUUUUCAUAAUGUGCGAAUGCUUAGGAUUUAAUUUCUUUCGUCCUCUUUUUUAAUAUAUGACAACAACUCAAAACAGUCCCUCCUAAAGGAAAAUGUGCCAAGGUAGCCCAUAUGCAUGUCUUCCUCUUCCAGAAGACAGGGACGGUGUGAUAUCAAAAUUAAGAUUUUUGUCUUAAAAAAGCUUGUUUAUUUGGGAAACAUUUCUGUUCGUUGUUAUAGUUUAUUAAAAUCAUUCAUUAUCCCGUCUAUGUUUUACUCAAUUAUAUGUUUCUAUUUUUCAGUUGAUUUUAUUCACAAUUUGUGUUUGAAUAUAUUUGUGUUGCAGACAAUUUUCAUGGCUCCAAUUAAGACUAAACGCAGAGCACAUGCUGUUGGCCCUAAAAAUAUGGUCAAUGGUAGGUGCUACUUCAGCCAUUUUGUUAAUUUUAUGGUCACCCUAGUUCCGUUAUUGUCUCAUGAGCAAAAGGUUAGGAUCACCGGCACACCUUUUGGCCAUUUGCUAGGUCUGCCAUAUAUUAAACAGAGUAGGCCUGUCCUGGACACUCAGCUCUCCUUCUGGGAUGACGAGGAGGAGGGUUUUUGGUUUGGUAAGGUUUUAGUUCCUUUUGUAGGGAGCGAUUUUGCACUAAUUCUUGGUUUAAGUGCGACGGGCGAUGAGGUAGAACUGCAUAGUAAGGGGAGGGUCACGUCUGACCUCAUCAUCCGUUUUUUUGAGGGGGACCAUAAAAAAGCCAAUAGAAAUGCAGUAAAGAAUAGAUUACAAUUUCUUGGUGGAAAGAGCGGACAACAAGAUGUAGAGGAUUUCACAAAGUUAUGGGUUCUAUAUGUCUUUGUGACUAUCCUCUUUCCAACUAUACACUAUUAUGUUCCUAAGGCAUUAUGUUCAUAUCUUGAUGAUUUAGACCGCUUAGGUUCAUAUAGUUGGGGUCUUGCUGUUUUUACUUUUCUUCGCCAACAAAUACCUAGUGUAGCCGAUAGUGUGCGGUCAAGGAAUAUCACUGGCAAAGGAUCGGCUAAAUAUAUGGACGGCUGCACGGUCGCUUUGGUGGCAUGGGCUGUUGAGCAUGCGAACAGCCUUGUUGGAAGCCAACGACCCACCUUCAUGUAUCCACGUCUCCUGCGUUGGAGCAAUGUCUCAUUUCCUCGCAAGGUGGACGUGAUUUCUGAAAUCAUGAAGAACUUAAAACGAUAUCAGGUGAUCGAGAAGCUAGAGCCUAGAGAGGAGGAGUUGCACAUUCUCUCGCGAGGAAGGCCACGAGACGUUGCUUCCAUAGAGAUGCGAAGAGAUGAUGCAUUGCAAAAGGGUUUACAAAAAAUUUUCAAUUUUCUUUCCUUAUUCUUAAAGGAAUAAUAGGAGGAACAGCAAAGAUCUUGGUUCGAGGUAUCUGGAGACAUGCCUUCAGCGCUAGAAAGAUGUUGGGACAUAUGUGGCAGUUAUGAUGCCACUUCUUGCAGCAUCCAACUUUCCUCAACGGAAUCCAAUGAGUGCUUUUCAGACGAUGUGGUUGGCAGAAGAUUGGUGCUUGUAACCUUGGUGUUUAUGAUAUUGAGGCAUUCCCACUGAUGCUAUCUUACCUUUUCUCCUCCAUGUUGGAGGGAAGGUAUUUGGAUUGGGUUAAUAUGCCACCCUUUUGUACGAGAAUUGUUUAUUAUAAUCAUUACCCUACAGACUGACCACUCCCUCUGAGAGGUAAGUGCUUCAUUGUUAAUGAAAAUGGAUUACUUCUAAAAAAUCCUAUUUUUCACAGUGAAACUGUAUGUCAUCCCAUUGCAUUACAUGAGUUCGAUUAAGACAUUUAUAAGCCAAAAACAUGGAACUUUUAGCUAGAAGCAUGAUUUUAGAGUAUCGCACCAAAUUAAGAGAUCUUACACCCUUGCUUGCAUGUGGUUCUUGAUGCUUCUGACAUAAUCUUGAAUCAAGAACCUUUGAUGCUAUCAUAUUUCAUUGUUUGCUUCAACUAAAGCUAUAGUAUGUGUUAUUGCCAAUUUUAAAAUAUUAUCAUAUAAUGUAACCAGUGACCACUUCCGAGUUUCUAUUACCAAAUUCUAACCGCAGGUUUGACAUUGAUGCCUAUCUCGUCAACUGUUGCCCCGAAGCACACAGGACAUUGGAAGGUUGAUGUCCCUGCCAUCCCUCGAACCAAGCAUUUUGCAAAGUCGCAUUCCUAAAAAAGAAUCAAGAGCUACUUUAGAAGCUAUGUUAUAAGCUAAUGAAGAUAAACAACACUUAGAAUAAGCAAAAGUCUUUAUGUAAUAAAAUUUGAUAAUAUGUAUGACUGUAUAUGUAUAUACGCACAAACACACACUUCUAUGCAUUUAAUAGACAUUUAAUGGUUAAUUUUUGAGAAGAUGCUAUCUUUCUUCGUGCUUUACACUUUGAAUGCAUGAACACCUUGUUUAACAUCUAUUUCUGGUGUACAUGAUUUAUAGCAACAAAAUUUUGUAUCUGAUUUGAAACCUUCUCAUCCAUUCACUGAUUGGUGAAUUAGUUAAUUUUAAUGCUAACUAGUUUCUGUCCCUCAUAAUCUCCAGCAACUUAAUUGUGUUCAGUGUCUCAUCAAAAAAAAAAAAAAAAUGUGUUCAGUGUCUUAAUUUCUAGCACCUAAUGAAUUCUUGGUGAAUAUAAUGUUUCAUAUUCUGCUGUAUGAUUAUCACAGGAAGAAUCCUAUCGUAGCUUCAAGGCAGCUGAGUUGGAUUUGAUGUAAACUGUAGGAAGGAUUCUGAACAUGAUUUGUUAAUGCCCUUUCAGAUUAUUUCCGGCAAUCAUUGUCCCAUGAAUUUGGGGACAACUGGUCAUUCUUAAUGAGAACUAUACCCUGUGGCAGUGUCAUUUUUCUAAACCAUUAUCCAGCUACUUUCCCCCACUCAUUUUGUGCAUAAGACCUCUAUUUUCUACAACUAUUAAGUUGUCUAAAGGAAAUAAUGGAGCUAGCCCUAAACAGGAAUACUUGGUGAAUAAGGAUUCAUAAAGCCGAUCUGGUGAUGGUGAUGGUAAUGAUGAAUUAUCUAGAAACUCGGAAUACUGAUUCCCCCACAAGCACUUUGAAAUUUAAUGAAUUCAUUAUUGUCAAUGCAAGCAGGCAACUUGAUAUGUAUUUUUUACUCUUUUAAUGUUAUCAUAAGCGCUCUUCUAGUUAAGUGCCUAACUGAAUAGGUCUGAGACAUAUGCAUUCCUUACCUCCAUUAAUGUGUAAACGCACAGUUCUAUCUGAAGGAAGCUAAGUUUGAUUUGCACCAAACAUGGGAAUUGGAAUUAGGAAUUACAAUCUCCAGCCAUAUCCUCCUCUUUUCUGUCUUGGCUCAAUCGGUUGCUUCCAUAGCUCCAAUCUUAAGUAAGCUUCCAGUUUCUUCAACUAUUUGCUAAUAUCUUUGGUAUAUUU